AGGAGACGUUAACAGAGCAGCCGCGAAAUUCUGGAUCUCUGAGGUGAGUGUUUUGUCAAUGUAGAAGAGAAAUAAAGCUUUAAAUAUGGAUGUGAUAAAAGAGAUCCAUCAGUGGAUGAAGUUAUGUAAACUUCUGCACAAUGAGGUUGAUGAGAGAUGAUUCUGUAUUUAUGGUGAUUGUUGUAGUUUGAGGAAGUGUGAGUGUGUUGGUGGAAAAGACUGAAUAUCAGGGCAGGUGAAGGUUCAUUUCUAACCUUUUCAGGUAAAAGUCAAAGAAAACUCAGUUAUAAACAAAUUCUGUAACAUUAUGUGCAUUUUUUGUACUUUUUAGAGAGGAGAUAUGUCCUGUUGAGAUCCAGAGGUGUGUGUCUUUGAGUGCAGGAUACAGUUUCUUUCCAAUUGAGCUGAAUUGGAUCAUAAUCUUCCGAUCAACAUGUUUACGUGAUGCAUUUUUAUUCAGAUCAGGCCUUUAUUCCGAUUAUUUGUGUCCAUGUAAACACAGCUAGUGUCUUGCUGAAAUAUGAAGGUCUUCAUCGUCUGGUUGGCAGCAGAUGUUUCUCCUAAACCUAAAGAUAAUAUUCAGCAUUAAUGGAGCCUUCACAGACGACAUGGACACUUCUGCAUCCUCAUACCAUCAGAAAUGCAGGUUUUCUUUAAACUGUGUUAUCAAGCCUGGUGGUCCAUGAUUUCCUUGUAACUUCAGUCCAGAGAAGUCGCCGUCAUCGCUGCAUCAGGUUUAUAAAUUAUUCCCUCUUUGCAUGAAACAGCAGAAACUGUUUUCACAGACUGUGUUUUUUAGACAUGAUUCAAGCCUGUGCGGUGAUUUCCACUUCAGAGUUAUAUUUGUCUUCAGUGCAGUCUCACCUGACAGGCCGUGCAGUGUUUGGUUUUGCCUUGUCCCUGGCCCCUGAUGUGGGACGUAGAUAUAAAACUGAAUCUAAAGAAAUCUACUUUAUUAUGCUUCAUACCCAAGAGUGAUAAUGUGAACUUUUCAAUCCAUUCGUACUCAAACUUGUGCAUGACCAAAGGGUAAAUAUUCAAAUGUUAUGUUUUUUAUUUUUUCACUGAUUAUGUGUAAGAGUUAUGAAAGCACAACUUUAAGCCUGCCUGACAUCCUCCAAAAUAAAUGCUGCCAAAAAGGUUUUGGGUUGAAUAAUUCAGUCUUUCUCUUCCAAGAAAAUGUUUCACCUUUUGAACCUGAGAGCUCUUCAGGCUGAAAGGGUCCGCUGCCUGAAAAGAGGCUUUUUUUAAAUGAAAAUUAAAUGACUGCAGCGGUUUUUCUGUGGCCGUCACACAGUCCAAUUAACCACCUAAAAGCCUCGCAGAGAAAAGUGCUCUGUCUGAAUAAUUGAUCAGAAUCCUUGAGUUUGCAAGUUUCUGUGUCCGUGACCGCCAGUUCGGCAACACGUGGAGGAGUCUGGUUUAUCCUGUGGGUACUCAAGUUAAUGCACCGGGUGAUUAAAAUGUUAUAAGUUCCAAAUUAGGACAGAGAGUAUGGAGAGAGAUGACCACUGAGUGCUGGGAAGAUGCAAGAUGGAGUGUAUGAAAGGAGGGGUCUUUGGAUCAAGAAAUGCACCAUCAUUUGGGAUCCAGCUCCCUUUAUUAAAACUGGAAGUGUCUUAAAAUCAGAUGUUUCCAGAUUAUUUCAACUUUUUAAAAACCUCGUCAUGAGGAUUUUGAUUCAUUUGGAUAGUAUAGGAGUCCGACUGAGACCCUCAACUUUCUAUAUCAGGUAUUUCCAAACUCCAGAAACUGGUCUGAUUGGUUCCCAGUCCUAAAUUUCUUUUUAACGUGUUUCAGUUUGAAGAUUUUCCCUCAUGAUCUCGACUAUUAACGGUCCUUACACACCGGCGAAUUUGCGGAGCGAGGCGAAAAAGCGAGACGAAAAUUGCGAAUGUUCGCCGGUCCGAAAAAUCGCUUUCGCCUAUACACACCGGCCGCGAAGCGAAUAUGCGUAUAUUUUUUGCAAAGCGAAUUAAUAAAGUCACUUUGCGGCACGGAGGAGAGGAGAUGCGGGGUAGUCCUGUACCGCAAUUACCAGCCUCUCUCCCAUCGUCGCUCUUGGUGCCAGUGGUGGUGUGUGUCGUGUGAACGGCUGCUGAUUGACAUGUCUAGCAUUAUGAGUGAGGGAGAAAGAGGAGGAAAAGCUGAGAGAGACACCGCAGCAGCCAGGAGAGGCGAGUGCUGAGCAGUGAUCCUUCAAGUUGUCUGGUCAUUCUGUUGGCCCUUUAGCUGCAGAUCAUCGGUAUGUCAAACAGCUGAGAGGGAGAAUCAGGCAUGAUGAGGCGGUCACCCUGUGAAGUGUGCAUGACAUCUGUCUCCUAAGGAAGACAAGAGAGUGUCAUCUUGUGAGGAAACUACUUCAUUAGUAAUUAGAAAGAGUUUUGGAUGCACCUCAGCUGUCUUUCUCUGCGUUUUCAUAAUCUCAAACUUCUCCCUCUCCUCCAGCCGUAUGGGUCUGUGACGUCAUCAACAACAUGACUAUUGAUUGGCCAGAGGUCUAGCAGGUCCAGAUAUUCGCCUGCGAAUAUCCGAAAAAUUCGACACAGGAGCGAAAAAAUAAAAGCGGCUUUUCGCCCCGCGGAAAAAUCGCCGCCGGUGUGGAAGCUCGCAUUGACUUUAUGCUGUUUUAAAAAAAGGCGAAUAAUUCGCCUGGCGAAUUCUCGCCCGGUGUGUAAGGACCUUUAGCAGUUCUGGUUGAAUCCUGUUUUGUGCUGACUCACUCUCUAAAAUCCUCAACCAAAUCUACCCCCAUCUCCAAAAAAACUAGACCUGAUCCUUUCGUAUUAAACAUUUCUGUGUAAUGAGAGUCUCGUACUCAAACUCAUUUACUCGCCUUAAUUGCUACAACAAAAGAUAAUCUGACCGCUGCUGUGAUAAUUUUGCCGAGUUGUGAGAUGAUUACAAUCACGCGGCGUUGUUUUCAUCCAAGGCUUAAAUAAAAACAAAACUUUUAAUGAAAGCUUUUUUUUUAAUGCAUAAUUAUAGUCCAGCAGCUUGAGGAAAUAUCAGAAACAUCAUUACCUGCAGGGCUCAGAGGCGUAUUUGUCUGGAGUUACCGCUGAUAUAUGGAGAACGGUUUGUUCCCACAGGGUCGUGUUUAAAAGUCGGGCCGAGUAUCAAAGUCAGGGAAGUACUCGUGCCUUUUGUUGUUCAUCUUCAAACGCUGACUAUAAUCCACAAAAGGAAACAGUCGAGUUCAUUAAUUCCUGUUUCUUCCAGGCUGCACUCUCCAUUCACCUCUCUGAUCGGGGGUAAGAGGAGGUAAGAGGCGUUUAUGAGAUUAGGAAGGAAGGAGGGAAGGAAGGAAGGAAGUGACUGAGGAUUAAACCGCUUUGAAGGAGUUCUGACUCAGGGAAAAAUAACAGCGUCUGUACUCUAAUAACUGCUGCGUCAUACUCAAACAUUCAUCUGUCCAUCCAGACAGCUUUACAAAUGAUAGGGGGGGGUUCAUAACGGCGUCCCUGAUGGUUUCAGACAGGACUCUGUUAGAACCAAUCAGACGCGGUGGUACCGACCAGGGGUAUCCAGGCAGAUUCUAGACUGUACUAGGGCCCCACGUUUUUACCACAAUAGCCAGGAUCUCACCUUUGUUCUAAGAUUUGAUAUCUGAGACUUAUGCUGCGUUCGAGUUACCUCGGAAAACAGAUGUCGAAGCUGAAAAUGACGUCACACCCGAGUUCCUGGCAAAAAGCAAAAUCAGAGGCCUGGAACGAGAUGGCUACAUCUACGAAAGUUAUUUUAGCACUUGUCUUAUAACCCUAACCCGGAGCUGAACAGACGUCAUUUUUAGCUCCGACAUCUGACUUCCGAGGUAACUCGAACGCAGCAUGACUUCAGUAUGUUAUACGCUCCAAAGUUGAUAGUCUUUCAUGCAGAAACUCUAAAUUUAGAUCUAAAACUCAAAGCAUUAAUAGUGUCAGAGUUCGGCUAGUUAAGACACAACAACCGGCUCUGUGUCCAGGGGAGUUUGGGGGAGGGCCACACUGAACUGCAAAGAAAGCAGCAUUAAAUCACGGCGAGUUGCCAAAAUAGUCGACUGUAACAGAAGUCCAAUUGGUGACAUGACCCGAUUACACUCCAUCAGGACUCCUCCACAAAGACCAUAAAUAGACAGCAAACUUCCCCUCACUUCAUUUGCAUGAAUUUCAAUGCAGAAAAAUACGUCUGCAUUGUUUCAUUCACGCUGAUGUUUCUGAUCUUUGCAGAGAAAUCAGUCUCUACACUUUCCUCUGUUAUCCUUUUACCAAACCUGAAGAUCUGAGAAAUGAGCGCUCGCUGUGUUUCAUCCAUUGAGCUGCUUUUAACCUCUGAUGUGCUUUCUCUUCUCUCUCUGUGGUUUUCAGACUCGACUCCCUCAAACAGCCGAGCUGAAGUAUAAAAGCACUCGGCUUCAUCAGGCGUCAGAGUAGAUUUCAGUCGGUUAAAAACCGUAAUCAUCAAGAGACAACGGCGCGGUUCAGAUCAGAGCUGCUCGUGAUCUGUUCAUCCAUGUCUGAGGUCGGCCUCCAGGCCUCAGAGGAGGCAGAAACAAGCUGAGAGGAGCCGAUGAAGGGAGAAAGAGGAGGAUUUGGCACGGAGGAAGAACAGGUGGGCCCUCCACACACACACGCUUCAUACCACAGACUGCUCAGUAAACUGCAGCAAAAGGCCGGGGUCAGGGUUCGAAAAUUCAAACUGUCAGAAGAGCUGCGUUUCAAACCGAAAGACAUCAAAAGGAAAAAUGAAAAAGAGCAGUUUCUCUGUGUCUACAGUACUCCACAUGUUCAGCAUCCUGAUGGAAAAGUCGAGGUUUCACUUUUAUGUACGAUGUGAGCCGACUGACAGGGAGGGCUCGCCAACACCGGGCUUUAUAUUCAAACUCCUCCGCUUCAAUAAUCCUCAGAAAAAAAAAAACAGGAGAAGAGCCGAGAGUAAGAAAAAAAAAAAACACUUAAGAUUCAAAGAAAAAAGUCGUAAUGUUACCAGAUUCAAGUCUAAUUCUUACGGCAAAGUAAGUCUUAGUAAAGUUAUUAAAGUCGGGAGAAAAUCAAGUCUUACAGUCAUGGGAAAAGUCUUUAAAUUCAAGUUUUUACGUCACGAACUCAAAGUUAUAUUGUUAUGAAAAUAAAGUUCUUAUAAAGUUGUCAUGAUACCAUAUUGAAGUUAAAAUACAGUUCAUGUAACGGGAACAAAAUCGAAGUUAAAGUCAAAAUAUUAUGAGAAUAAAGUCAUAAAAACUUGAGAAAAUCAAAUUAUGUUACAAGAAUAACUUUAAUUAUAAGUAUUAAGAGAGUUGAAGUAUUAUGGAGAUUAAAGGUCCAUGUUCUUGGCGGCCAACAGAUUUUUGUUUUCAAAUGAAAAAAUGAAAAUCGGGAGACAAGUUGUGACUCAGAGCUUCUCGCUCCGGGUCACAACAAAACAGUGAUUAAAAUUUAAAACACAAGAUUUCCGUGCAUAUAUUUUGAUCUUUGAUAUCUGUUUAAAAAAACAUCACAGAAAGUUAAAUACUGAGUUGUUUCUUCGUUCUCUGAUUUUUAUGAUCAAAACAGAAAGCGGUUUGUUUUCCUGUUUUUUUGUUUUAUGAUUCUGUACUGGUCGUUGGGCUGGUCUCCUGAUUUUCGUUUUCUCAUUUGAAAAUGAAAAUUAGUUGGCUGCCAAGUAUACGGACCAUUGAAUCACGGUAAAGUCAAAUUGUUUUUAGAAUUAAAUCAAAGUAAAGUCAAAAUAUUAGUCAUAAUAGAACAAGAAUAAAGUCGUUAUGUAACGAGAUCCAAGUUGUAAGAAAAUCAAGUUAAAAUGUUAUGAGAAUAAAGACAAAACAUUUCAGUGAUGAAGUUGUUGCUUUGCGAGAUUAAAGUUACAUCUUUAAUAAAGUUGUUAAAUCACAAGAAUAAAGUCUCUACGUUAUGAAAAUAAACUUCUAAACCAAAGUUUGAAUCCAGCCUCAGUGGAAACCUGGGCCUCCCUGUUUCAGCUGCUCCUGUGUUACAAUAAAGUCUUGCAUGAAUGUAAUACACAAAUAUAUCUGCUGCACACUCACACACAUCAGUGAGGGCAGACUUCACAAUAAGAGCAGAAACUGCAUAACUCAGAAAUAGAAGCUCUGCUGCAGCAAAAAGCACCAAAUCCUCUCUGAACAUUUGGAACCUUAAAAAACUGUCCAAGACGGACUGAGAGGGACGACUUCAGAGAAGUCCGAGCCAGCUCAUCCCCGCAGGACUCUGAGUGUGUGUGAGUGAGUGUGUGUGAGUGUGUGUGUGUGUGUGAGUGUGUGAGUGGUUAAUUCCCUUUUAUUCCCCGGCUCAGAUAAGACCCUCUCCUCAGUGAGCUGAAUAAAUUGCAUUUCUCCACUCAGCGAGAGGACGGCCCGGUUGUGAAUGAAGCGGCGAGCCUCGAUAACGCGGCUUCCUGUCCUGAUUAUUGUUUCCUUCCUCGGGCAGGAGGGUGAGGUUGAAAGGUUCCAGGAGAAGAUUUCAUUUUCUCCACAGAUAUACAUGAAAAAAUAAUGAGACGUCUUUGUGCGUUGAGCUUUUCAUUAAUAAAACAGCAGCCCUCGAUCAGCAUGUGAGCUGCAGGGAACAAGAUAGGAUCUUGAAGUUUUUAUUGGAGCGGCUCUGGAUUCUCACCGGGCCUGCAGUCUGGGUUAAACAUGGAAGUGUUUGAUCUGUUAGAUUUGAACCCUGAUUAUUGGAGCAGCUUUUCAACAUCAGUUCAGUCUGCUCAGUGUUACCUGACGGGGUUCAUUUCGGAGUGAUUACACUCUUUGUUUUCUCAGGAGGCUCUUUGUUUGAACUCUGAAUGAGGAACCGCUAAACUCCCCUCCAGUCGCUCCAUUUGUUCUUUUUUUUCUGAGCUCGCACAGUUUGUCCCAGAGCUGGAAGCAACAUCACUUUUGAUUGUGAUUAAUUCGAUUGAAAAAUGCUCCAGAUGUCUUUUGGGGUCAGAUAAUGAAUCUCUGUUGAUUCAGUAAAGAUCCUCUCUGACUAGGAUGUUAAAAAAAAUCUUAAAGAGGCCCUGAGACUUAAACCUCGUGCACAAGCGAGCCUGAAGUUUAUCCACUGCAUCUUUAUUUUUGUAAUAUCCCUUUAAUGUCCACCAUUGAGACAACUCCUUUAACCAGUCUGCCCUUUGCGGCACAGGCAUACCCCAUUUAUUUCCAACAGCUCUUCUGUUGUCAUGCUGAUAAAUCCAGAGGUAAAUAAAAAUAAAUAAAAAAAUUCUAUAAUAAAAUUACAAAAAAGGCAGCCCCCCCCCCCAAAAAAAAACCAAAAAAAACAAACAAACAAAAGUAAAGGUAAUAUACUGUAAUUCAAAGGACAUUCGAAAUCAGACCUCUAUGCUGGUGCAUCCAGGUGCACUUACAGGUGCACUGUAAGAAAAAAAUAAUAAUAAUAAAAAAAAAAAUUUAACACCUUGAAUGAACUGUCAGUAUUAAUUCUUCCUUAGAAAAAUACUUUUUGUUUAUUACUAAAAUUACACAUGCAUAACGUACCCUUCCCAUGAAACAGCCAAUACUUUUAAAUUUAAAAUAUUAUAAUUUGAUUUUACAGCAUAAAAAACAAACAAAGUAAAAUCAUUUAACAGGAUUUUUCCUGAGGCGUUUUCUCAGAUGUUAAAAAUACACUUUGAAAAUUUCAGUCAUCCUCAUCAGAGGGAGUAACAUCUACUGCUCGUCUCUCGGACCUUCCCCGUCUCCUUGUGAUGUCCUUUUCACACCAAUCACCUUCUCCAUCAUCACAAACUCGUACAUCCUCUCAGAGUGAAGGACUCCUCCUCCGGUGCUCCUCUCGUCUCCUCAUUGAUGCCCUCCCUCGACUCCUCCUGUCCAUCUCUGACACUCAAACGAAACACUAACUCUCAUUUUUAUUCCUCUCCCGAUGUUGUUGAUACUUCGUCCUCCUCUCCACGGUCCUGCAGACCUCCAGAGGCUGCCUGUUAACUCGCUCUGAGUGUCUCCCCCAGCUGUUGCGGGGGUCCGCACACACACUGAGGGCUCUUCAUUGUCGGCUAAAGAGGCCCAGAGGUUACACAAAUGAUGGCAGGAAGAGCUGCAGGCGAGGACACCCGAGGGCUGAGCUUAGCUGGAGGAAGGACGCCCGCAGGAUCGGUGACUGAUUCAUGAUUCAGUAUGGAACAACACGUGUCAACGCAGAGCAGAAUCUCACCGCCAGAUUAUGGAAGAAGUUCAUUUAAAAUAACAGCCAGUGGCCUUUUUUCCAUGAUGGAGACAGAUGAUGAGCAACAUCAGUGAUCAUCGGCAUAUACGCUCAUAAUACUCAAACCGGCUCUUGUAAAACAACAUUUGAGAAAUUCAACUAGACCGCUGCAGCAUGAACCGAGCUUCCUGUACUUCACUGUGAAAAACAUCAGUCUGCAAAGGAUGGAAGUGAAAGCAGUGACCUUGCAUGAUGAAGAGCAAUAACAGAUCAUUUACAGAAAAACAACAAAUACUUCAAAAUGUCACCGAAACCUUUUACUUCAAAAAAACAAAAACAAAAUAAUACAGAACAAGGAUUAAAGGAGUUACAGUGAAUUCAGAGCGUCCUCCUUCUCUCUGCACAGGGUUUUAAUAUUGUAUUUAGUGGCAUGUAGUGAGGCGGCAAACAGGUACGCUGGGUGUCGAGUUUAACAGCAGACUCCUGUCUCUCUUGUGCCGCUGUCACACCAUCUCACACAUCAGGAAAACAGACUAAAGCCUGAAUUAUCCAAACGGCUCCUCUCUAGGUUGGUGCAGCAGCGCAGCACUGAUCCACACAGACAAGGAGUGCAUGCAGUAAAACACACCGCUGCACGUUAAAUCCGAGCAGCGUAAGAAGAGCCUUCACAGUCGUGUUAAUGGUUAAUUCAUCGUGGAUCUUCUGCUUCGACAUGCAAAAUGUUUCAUGGAAGAAAACAAAGAGCAGGACGGUGAAGAGCACUCUGAGGUUUGAACAAGUCAUUCCCCGAAGGACUCUCUGUCCGAAUCAAUCCUCGUGUUUCGCUCUGUCGUCAGGCUUUUACUGACUGCUCAGCAAAAGAGCAGCUGAGGCAAAAGUUAAAGGGGACUUCUCUGACCGCCAGAUACGCAAUCAGGACAAAUAACAGCAACAUGAUGAGACGGAGACAAGACAGAGCAGAGAGGAAGCUUCUUCGAAUGUGAUCUGCAGAUUGUUUUGGUACGAGACAAAGUCGGUAGGCCGGGGGACGACCGAGAAGUAAACAGAAGAAAAGGUGCAUGUCUCUGACUACCGCAGCAAAUAUUUAAAAACAGAGGAAAUGCAAAAGUGCAAAGUGUUGUAGAUCUGUGAUAGUCCAUUUGGAUGUCAACAAGAACCUGUCGGCUCAGGUCACAUCAGAUCGCACUGAAGUACUGCAGAGUGGUGAACUGGCAUUAAAUGUUUCUGCUGGGAGGAAUCAGAGUGUCGCUCUCGUCUUUUCACACAAACUCAAACUGUUAUUCAACCCCGGCUCUUUCUCCCCUCUCCCUCACCUUUGCUCUGAGGGGUUUUUGAUUCUUUCAUUUUAAAGCUGCAGAAACUGUCGGACAAAGCUCCCCCAUUUCUGGCGUCAGAGAGGUGUGUAGGGAGGUGGGGGGGGGCAGUACGAGGCUGUUUGACCGUCCGACAAGCACUUCUGAAGACGCGCUCUGGCAGAUAAAUCCCCCUCCAGGUUCUCUGAGCUCUCUCCAAGAACUCCCGGUGUUUCUUGUGUCUAAAUGUGGCGGAUCAUACAAAUGAGACAGAGUCCAUUUUCUACUCCAGGACCGCGGAGGUGUUUGUUGUACGGUUAAAAAAAAAGAGGGAUGAAGUUGAGCUUAGAAUUCUAAAAGGACCUGAACACUGAAGAGAUCAGCACCUUAACACGACUGACCGGAUACAACUCAGCGCUGUCUGGGAACUAAACCAGCGCUUUAUACCCCACAGUACAAUUAAAACCGUAGAUCGCUUUGGCCUUGGGUUCGUCGUCCAAGGUAAACGUGACGAUUUCACAAUAAUUAUAAAAAACACAUUUUUGCACCGUUUUUUCUGCUGUCUGAGUCAGGAUGUGAUUGAAAUGAUGAUUUCUCUCUGCAAACGCACCUGUUUAGUUCUGCAGCUCUGUGCAGUUUGCUCGUGUUGAGUCUGGUGGUAGACAGAGCUGUUAGCGUCUCUGUUGCACAGAGCUGCACUGUGCACUCUCAUCCUGACAGAGCCACAGAUGGAUAAGGGAUUGGAUGGGAAAAAUUCAUGUCUUACUUGCAUCCCAUGCAGCUGAUAUUGCAGAUUUCACAGUGUGUUACAUAUUUCCAUCCCUGGAGUAAUUCAGCAAGAAAAAAAAAACACUGAUCAUGACUUAUUUACUGAUUACAGAUUAACCUGGACUCUCUUCCCACAACUAUGCGUGUCAGAUUUGAACAUUAAUAAGCCACAGACUAAUGGGACGCUCACACCAAGCGUGAGUAAAACCAUCUACUCGCUUAAGUCGUGCUAAUCUAGGCUAAGGUGACCAGACGUCCCCAAUUUCCGGAAUUGGAUGACCUGUCCCCGGCAAAAGCUGUCCCUGAAAAUGUCCCCGAUUUAAGCGUUUCAUGAAUGAGGACAAAAAUGUUGUGUGAAGGCUCGAACAACGGUUAUUGCAGCAGCUGAAUGGGGAGGAAGCACAAGUAAGCAGUCCUGAACAACAGUUUUUACGGGGUACGGGGGGUUCUUAUCGCACAACUAUUAUGAACGUUACACCAGUCAUCAUUAAUUAAUCUUGGAGUCGCUGUUAUGAACACCUGUCUAAAUGUUUGGCGAUGACGUGAUGGUUCAUCAGAGCCACUUUAAAGCCUCAUUCCUCCGUGUUUAACAGCCAGAGAGUCCUCUCAAGGUUUCCAGAGAAACAUCUGUCUCUAUGGUGAUCUGAGCUGGUUAAGUCUGACCACCUCUGUCUCCAUUAUUCCUUCCCCCGAGACCCACUUUAGUCUUUAUGUUGAGGUUAAAGUCACUGUGUUUACCUCGAAUCCAGCAGCCAAUAAAAACUUACUGAUGGACAAUGGGUUUUCUGGAAAGCACCCAGGCAGUAGUUAGAGUAAAAGGAGGAGGGCAGAAAGGUUGGGUUUAAAAGGGGAACAGAGUGCUUGUUGUUGGUUUAUGUAAAGGUACAGGCCUCUGCUGGACUCGGUUUAGUGAACCAGAGGGCGGACAGAAGGACGAGGUCGACCGGUGCAGCCUUCUGCAUGAGCGCUCCGCUUCACGGCACAUUUGGAAACUCUCUCAGGUGGAUAGUUCAACUCUGUGUGUGUUUGUGAGUCUGUGUGUGUGUUUGUGAAGUCUGAAAGAAAACAUGUUUUUCCAAAAGUAGACCAAAUUCAUUCACUUUCUCGCCCAAAGUACUCGUCCCUUUAAUAAUUCAGUGCCAAAUGGGAUCCUGGGAAGAUGAGGCAGCACAUAAGUUGGACAGAGGGUCCCAUCGUCCCCGACAACACUGAGAGCACUGUCUUAAAAAAGCUCUGUUUACUGUGCAGGAAGAAGGAACAUAACACAGAAUAAAAGAGGAACUCACCAAAAACAAAGAGUGAAGGAAAAUUUUAACAAAAUUCUCCUUUAUCAUCCCGUUAAAUGGACCUGCUGCGGCCAUUUUUCUUUAAGUAGACUCAAGUCUAUCAGGUUGUUUUUGUGUCAUCACCUCAUCACGGUAAAUUACAUCGACUGGAUAUUCCCAUUUGGAUAGUCUAACCUCCAAAAUACAACGAUGGCAGUUGAAGGAAGCGAAUAAGAAAUGGGAAAAACUUUGCCGGGAAAUUUUGGAGGAUGAAAUCAUGACAAAAGAAAAACAGAAAGAGGAACAGAGACAGUGAUCAAACUUUAAAGAUCUCCAGACACGAGGGAUUGUACUUGGUUCGACUUGUUUGAUUCUUGGAAAGACAACCAGACUCAAACCAUCAAAAUUCUGCUCUGGUUUUAGACCACACACCAACUAAGAAAAAAUACGAUAUGCAUAUCUCAGUAUUACGGCUGUUUUGAUGCUUCUCCAGCGGUUCGGUUUGGACAAGAAGCAGGUAAACAACCCUUAAAAAACGAGUUGAAUCUCUCACGUUGUAGUCAGUCCAGCUGGUACCAUGGCUCUGCUCCACCAUGUCUGUAUAGGAAGCCUGAGGCAAGCAAAACAAUCUUCAAGAGCCUUAGGAGAGCCUCAGGCGGGGAGAGCAGCAGCAAAGACCUUUCAGACCAGAGCAUGAAAACAUGAAAACAGCUGGUGGAGGAAACAGGAAGAGAGGAGGUCUGACUGCUGCCAUGGCAACUUACUGACUUUUAUAGAGCGCCGAAAAGUGGGUUGAAGUCGUCAAGAAGUUGAUGAAAGCUAAAAUCUGCAUUGGCAUGUUUUUUUUUAGCAGGUUUACCAGCAGAUGGAUAUAUACUUGGGUUAGUGCCAUUUUUAGCUGAAUCUACCGUGAAUAGCUCUGUGUCAAAACUACAUGUAACUCUAUACUUUUCUUUGUAACCAAAAUCUAUAAACCUAGAAACACUGCUGCUUAUGAACAAACCUGUUUCAAAAAAACCUGCAUAAAGAGCUGCGGUGUUGAGUGGAUUGGUUGCCCAACUGAUUGUUGUCCGCGCUUGUAGAUGCAGAUAGCAGUUUGUAAAAACAGAUAGAUGCCAGAUAACCAGUGUUAUGAGGCAUUCACACCAAGCACGAAUAAAUUCAUUCGCACAAAGAAUUACAUGUUAAGGCAAUGACAUGUUGAGUUAUUCACAUGAAUGACACAAGUUGAAAAUAUCUCAUCUUUAGCAGAUAUCCGCAUUGCCAUAACCAAUCAGCAUGAAGAUUCCCAGGUGAAUCGGACCAUAAGAUGUUCACUGGUGUGAAAAUAUGAACACAAAUCCUUUUACUGACAGUAGACAGAUGGACAGGCGCUCUGCAGCUGGGAGAGAGCGCCUGGAAUCGGUAUCCUGGCACUGACCCUCACCAACACGUCAUCAAAUUGGGCUCUGGUAAUCCGAAAUACUGCCAGAAACGGUCUUCAUCCAGGCGCAGCUAUUGGAGGAGACCAAGACACGGUGGCUCUUACAUCUCUGACGGUUCAGCAAUCCCCUGAACAUGGUUCACUCCUACCAAGCUUGAUGGAGACUCCGCCCCUCUCUCAUAUCCACGGCUAGCAGUCUGGAGGAAGAUGAGUUCGGAGGUGAGAUUAUCUGGUAAAUUGUGAGAAGCCGUUGUCUAUCACUUGAUCCCGCAGGUUCAAUAGGCAAGGAUCACUGUUGAAAUUAGCAUAAACGGCUAUCCACAGCUUUGACGCACUCUGUUGAAACGUGAAUCAUUUGCACGACUGAAGCAAGUAGAUGAUUUUACUCACACAAGAAGUCAGGAUCCAUGAUGAACUGCUUUACGCCUGUUUUUGCUCUCCAUACCAACACCAACAAUUAACAUCCCUGCAUUUCUAUGUAGACAAAGAAUCACUAAAGGAAGAUUUCAGCCUGAAAACAGUAUUGAAAUCUCAGCUGCAGGAGCCUGUAUGUUAUUACGUAUUUACACGCUGCUUUAACAUAUAUCUAUGCCAUCAUAUUUGUCUUGUAUCCUCUAUAAUAUGCAUGUGAGAUGACUUAGAGUGAGAGUCGGUCUGCUGCUGGAGCUACAGGACAUAAUUUAGGUCACCAGGCUUGACAAAUAAAUAGUUUAGUGAUGACAGCGAGGAGGAAAAGCUUUAGCCAGCUCUCAUUUACGGCUGACGUUGUCUUUGAUUAAAUCUGCUGCUGGCUUGAACAGACGGACGGUGAAGACUCCACCGGACUGAGACUGAGAGAGAGGAGGCCGAAACACACACAAACACUCACACACACACACACACACACUUCAGACUGAUUUAAUGUGGACUGUCAGAUCACCGGAGCUUUACUGGCAGGAAGCUCUUACCUGUGCACCUGCAGAGGAAACACACAGACAGAGGACAUCUAUGAAAGCAGUGUGAACAGAUCUGUACACCUGGAUCUACUUUUCAUACCAGGCAAAAUCUCUUUUUAGCACUUAACAUAUGAAGUAGCUGAGAAACAGGGGACACUCAUGAAUCCUGUAGCUCCCAGGUGUUGAAAUGUCAGAGGUGUUGGCGGUCUAUUUGACCCUCUGCUCUUCUUCUUGGAGGAUAUUUUCCUAUUUUCAAGACGCUUUUCAGCUGAAUUCGAGGUCUAAAGGAGGACAAAUGUUGUUAAUGAGGGACAAGUCAGGACUGCAGGCAGGCUCGUUAAACACAGGACACCUCUAAACCUCUUUUUAUGUUGUUCAGCAUUAAUGAAGCCUUCCUGGACACGUGUACCCACACCUCAUGCAAGGUCGCAAAGGACUUUGAUAAGUAAGGAGUCGUAUUUUGUACUAAAGUGGGAUUUUAUUGGGAGCCGGUAGAGGUGGAUGAGGGUUCUGGUGCUGGUGAGUUCUGGACAUAUUGGAGCCUGUCCAGGGAUUUGCUGGGUACCUACCCCAGACAGGACUCCACUGCAGUAAUCAAGGUGGGAGGUGAUGAAGGCGUGAACGAAGGUUUCAGCAUCAGAACCAGAGAGUGAUGGCCGAAGUCUAGAGAUAUUUUAUUAAGGCAGAUUUAUGAUGGAGCUGAUGUGAGAGGGUGGAGUCCAUGAUGACACCCCGGUUGUGGUUCAUUGUUUAUAUGGACUCAUCACUCCUUAAAAAAUUAAAAUAUGCAGGAAAAUAAAGAAAUAACUGAAGACAAUCUCCUGUAUCUGUGAUUACUCGACUCUCCUCAUUCUUCAUCUUUGUUUUCCCGCUCUUCAUUUCUCCUCUCCUCAGUUUUUUUUUAAUGGGUUACCUCCUGAAGACACUGUGCUGAUGAGCUGCACGUCUGCACACCUGUAAAUCAGGUGUAACUUCAGAGCAAAAUCCAAUUAGUGAGCGUGGACGAGGAGCUGAUUCUUAAAUGGAUGUGGGUGUGAGCUGAAGUCGAAUGAAGGUGACUGAAUCAGGGUGAAGGAAGAGACUCAAAGACAAUCAUGUAAUGAAGAACUUCAUUCAUAUAUCACAGGGAUGUCGUCCAGUAUUUAUACUCUGUUAUUAUCUAAAUGGGAACAUACAUGUCCCCUGUGUAAAAUUACUGAUUAAAUUUCUUUAGAUUCAUAAUUUGAUUAAUGUUUUUUGCCGAGGCAGUAAAGCAUACUUACUUUUUAAUUUGAGAAAAAGACGCUCAACCAUCAGAGGAGAUGGAAAUACAUCCCAGACUCACCGACGCUUUCAUCCGUGGUGGUGCAGAUGGCCCAGAUUUAGACCGCCUUCAGAUCUAGUGCUGUACCGGGUACAGGUCAGGGGUCUUGUUGUUAAAUGUUAGACUCACACGGAUAUAUCUGGCGCCAUAUAAAAGUCUGGUCUGGUUUAUAAGUGUUGGACAUGGACUGACUGGAGAAGGAUAUAAGAGGCUCUUAGGUGACCUGCAGGUAAAAGGUCUCAUUCAUUUAUGUUUCGUUAAACACAGACCAGAUAAAAGUCAGAGGUCUCUUUAAGAAAGGUUGCACAUGGCUCUGAAAGUGGUGUGCGCCACUUCAUUCACGGGCUUCUUCAUUUCUCUAUUUCUGUGAUCCACCUUCAACCUCUAACGGCUUAUUUGUUUGCAUUUGGCUCAGUGUAGGGCUGCACGAUUAAUCGAUUUUAAAUCCCGAUCCGAUUGUUUGAUUAUGACGAUGUUAAAAAAUCUAAUAUGUCGAUUUUCAAAUUGAUUUUCCUCUCUAUCAUGUCUCGUGCCUCCAGGCCACCGUAGGCUCCCCCUUCCCGCAGGAGGGCUCCCCAGUUCCCACACACACCAGUGUAAACAAACAUGGCGUUUGCAAAAGAAGGCGAUAAUUUCGUGGCUAAAUAGGACAAGAGCAAGUCAGUCGUGUGGAUUUGGUUCAGCUUCACAGUUUUUUGCCGGUGUUUCAUUCACACGAAAUCGAAUUCAGGAGAAAAUGCAAAAGUUUUUUUGUUUAAUCGGCGUUUCAUCCACACAGAAACGACGUUUCAGGAGACUAAACAGUACUUUUUGAAAAUGGGUCAGAGAGUGAAUAAAUCUGUAAACGACGACCAUUUCAUCUCCGAUCAUGUGACACACAGAGUAACUCUUUUAUGGCGCCAAAACAACCUUUAUACACAUGCUCUGCACUCUUCUUCUGUCUUUUGUACAUCUCCUGUGCAGCGUUACAGCGCCGCUUACUGGCUUGGCAUAUGCACUACAUCGUUUUCAGUUGUUUUGUUUUGAGAGACGAUAGAAAAAAUUUUUAUUAAAGUGAAGUUUGGUGAAGUUGACACUCAAUAAAAAAUUGAAAUCAAAAAUCGAGUUUUCAUAGAAAAAAAUCUGGGUUUUAUUUUUGUCCAAAAUCAUGCAGCUCUAGUUCAGUGUGUACCUGAAAUCUUCUUUGUUUUUGCAGAUAGGCUCACGAGCAGUUUUGAUGUUCCUUUGCAGAUAGUUGUCAACAACUAAACUUCACUGAACUGAGAUUUUCUUUUUUGCAUUAUUCGCCUGUUUCAUGUUUCUUUAAAUACUCUUCGGUACAUUUUAAUCAGGUCUGACUUUUUGAUGAACCGCUGUAUGUGGACUCGGUCACGGCCCUGUGCUAGAACUGAGUCCAGAAUAGAAAAGAUUCAUCCUCUGUCCUGACUCACUGGAGUCCAAAUGCUGCUGAGUUGAAGCUGACGGUAUAAUUAGCGCUGCUUCUCGUCAUUAAGAGUCAUAUUUACAUUCGGGAAAAGCACUUUGCUGUUUUAGUACAUAAAUCAAAAGCAGGAGACCCGGCUUGCUCGCAGACUCCUGGGGUCACAUUGCUAUAAAUGUCUGCAGCUCUGGCUGUAAAUCAGCCUCCUGAGAGAGACACAGAGAGCUGGAAUGACAUUAGAGAAAUGUAGACUGAACUUAGGAGGCAUUUUUGUCUAUUUCUGUCGAGGUAUCCAAAACAAACCUGAUAAAUAAGCGUGCAGAAAUGCUGCCGUGCCUCACCAAAAUUAGAUUUCAGCGUCCUGCAAACACAGAGAUACUCUCCAUUACAUUUAAAUUGCCCCUUCAGAAACAAAGCCACAAAUAACUGCUGCUGCUUCUUAGUGAGAGGUUGGCAUUUAAUUACAAACACCCACUAUUUGAUUAACACUUGUUUCUUCUGGUAUAAUGUGAAAACGGAGCAGUUUAAAUAAGCGAAGAGCGACGCAGCAAACUCGACAUAACGAGAACAGGAGUGACGCGCCAUUAAUCUCCAUCCAGUUAUUGUUUCUGCUUUAGUGGGGGCACACAGACACACAAAAUAAACGCACACAAUACGACUGUAUUCACAUGAACAAUGAACAAUUUCCAUUACACCGGACUGAACCAGCUUGCCAGGAAGAGGAGAAAAUGAUCGCCUCUGUCUGGAAACAAUGAGCUGAAAUUAGUUGUUGGUGAGAACGCGGUGGGGGUCAAAGGAAAGUCAGGGGAUGAUUCAACUCUCUGACGUUCAUAGCCAUCGUCAAUGAGGCAGAAAAAGAGGGGGAAGGGGGCAGGGAGGGAGGAGGGUGAGUCGAUCUGAGCCUGCCGAGGCUGACUCUGAAAAACCCUGGAGCUGCCUCCCCAUUUAGAGAGACUUUGAAGGGGGGACUGCUUGGAAACGGCUGCGGCUUUGAUGCAAAGCUCUGUGGAUUUGUGUCAAAUUGGGCCUCGGUGAUGCAGCUUCUCGCAGGCGUCCGUCUCACACACACAUACACACACACAGACACACAAACUCCAGGCUGUACGAUUUCUCUUAUCCGAUGCUCUAAUGACUGAAAUGUGGUUUAUCCUCCUCUGAAGCGCAGUUUAGUCGGGCUGAAAGAGGAGAGGGGAAGAAGCCGACAGACGCUCAGGGAGGAGAUAUAAAAACAGGGCCGGCCGAGGUCACAUGGAGCUUUCACACACACACACAGACACACACAGAGCUGUAGUAUUAAGACGGCAUGUCCUAUUAGCUCAGCUGUAGGGGAAGUGUCUCUCCCUGUGAAGAGCUUCAGCUCCCAGAGGAGAGACAAGGCAGUAUUCCUUUACAACAGAGGAGACAGAUGGAGACAGAUGGAGACAGAUGGAGGAGGAGCGGCUCGUAAAUGAAGCUGAGAUGUGAUGUGAGUUUGGGCGACCUGUUUGGGUUAGGAUGUCAAAUAUCGGAGCACAAAAAAACAGAAGUUCCUCGAUCAGAUCAAACUUCCAUCAAACUUUGAUCUGUAUUGAUCAGUGAACCCAAUUCAUACAUUUCUGGUCCCUCCUGCUUUUAAAUGAUAUCUCCUAUCUUAUCCAGAGGCCUGGGGUCUUUCUGAGGGGUGGUUGUGCAUCUUCUAACAAACAGGUGGUUACAGUGGAGCAUUGGCAGUGGCAGUGAGAAUAUGCAGCACACUUGUUGACGUGGUAAAAUCAUAGACUGUAUAUAGACUGUAUAUACUAUGGACAACUUGGCUCCGCCUUCUGUCAUUAUAUGAAUUUGAAGCCGAAUCACUCUCGGAGAAGGCGGAAUUUAUGACCUAUACUGCAGCCCGUCACCAGAGGGUGCUGUUCUCGCGGUGACGGUCUUUAGUUGAAAUGGACUCUUAGCAGAUUCAGCCUGUUGAGUUACAUUCAGAUUUGUUGGAUUUAAACGACUGAAUGUUUUGUGUUGAAUUUACACAAACAUGAGUUUCCUUCAGACCAUUUCACUCUGUUCUCUUCUAACACGGUUAAGGUCGACUACACCUUCAGAGUUGUCGUGUUUUCAUCCACUUACCAGAUGAUCUGACCUCCUCGCUCACUUCCCUCCAAGCUACAACUGUACAACUACAACAAUUCUCAUUUUGAUCGAAAGAAACGAGUACAGUAAAGGUCAGGGUUGUGCGCACUGUCACAGUCAGUUUGUGCUUCGUUUUCAGGAUGGAUGAACCUUCGCUGGUCUGUCGUUGAUGGACGUCAGCGGUGGAUCUCAAUGCUGAUUGGUUUGCUUGGUUUUUCCCGAUUUUUCAGCUCUUGUGAAAAAGUGAACAGACGGCGAAUUUGCAGAACUUGUGUCUGUAACUCGCCCCACAUCAUUUGCAUCACCGGCAAGAACUCUUGCACCGUUGAUAUCGGAGCAUUAAAAUGGAGUAAGUUAACGCUUUAAUUUGAAUAAACGUUCAUGCCAGAGGUUCAGUUCCUGAGCAGACCGCCCAGCUAUAUUUUCCUACCGACCUCGGCUCACUUUCUUUCAAUAAGAGGGAAAAAAGUACAAAGCGAAAACUCCUUUUCUAACCUUGGCUGUGGUCAGGAGUGCAGAGUCCUAUUAUUCAGGCUUUAUGGUAUCCUUUAAUUCACUCAGUGUGCGAAAGGGUGACAGCGAUGACAGAAAGAUAAAGCCGGAUGAAGAAAAAGAGACGUGAAGGUCCCUUUUUCAUCCAAUUUCCUCCCUCUCCUGCCGCUGCAAACGCCUCUCCGCUCAUCACUCAGCCCAUCCGGAGCUUUACAUAAACACAUCAGGCCCUCCCAUCCAAGGAGACAGCGAUGAUAUGGAGCCGUGAGUCACUGCGUUUGAGGCAUCUAUCAUUCAGAGUCUGAUCUGACAUCAGCUCUGAGAUCAGCUGCAGGAGCCGUGACUUCAGAGUGACUCUGCAGGAACUAAUCCGGAUCACAUUCAGGAGGAAAACGCAGAUAUUCAGGGAAUCGGGCCGUCAGACGGAGAGAUGAACAGCAGGACUUUGAUCUUCAAACUUUUUAUCAGUCAAGGGCAAAAUCAACUUGAUUACAUUUGAACCAACUUUAUCCAGCUUAAAAAUUUCAUAGAACUCUGUCUCCAUCAUUCGCACGAAUGAAUUACAUGUUAAGUCAAUGCAAAGAUGCGAUUAGACACUCGUACUUCUCUGGCGGCACAAAAAACUUGAAUUGGACAAGAGCUGAAAUUGUCUCAACUUGAGCAGAUAUUCGCGUCACAAUAACCAAUCAGCAUGAAGGUUGCCAGAUGAUGUAUGACAAUGAACGGUUGUUCACUGGUAUCUAAAAUGGAGGACAAACUGAUCAUGUCGGUGUGUGGUUGCCCCGAAUCAUAUGAUACCUUUUCUUUCAGUUACUGAAACAAAAAUAGAAAGGAGCUCGCCAGGAAGCAAGUGAGUGAGGAGGUGGGAUGACCUGGUAGAUUGUAAAAAAACUUUGACUAUCACUUGACCCUGCCGGUUGAAUAGGCAGGGAUUACCGUUGAAAUUACCGUUGAUGAGCGAAUGAAGCGAGUAGAUGAUUUCAAUUGCGCUUGGUGUUGAAGCCCCAUUAUACUUUGGUUUAACAUUCAUUUCAGAGCCGUGUCCACUCUCUUGGCUGUUACCCUAAAUUCUGUUUUAUACAAGCCACAACCUCCAGUGUUUCAAGUGCAUAAAACUGCAGUUCCUCAACUGUCCACUGGAGGCUUCAGGAGCCAAGGAACUCCAUUACGCCCUGUUAAAAACGCCUUCAUCACAGCACAGUUAAGCCUGGUUUAGACAUUAGCUCUGCUCCUGCUUUUGCCUGUACCAGUCUCACCUUCACUAAGAAGCGUAUCAAACACGUCACACUCCCGCAAAUUAACUGCAUGCUGAGCGGACAAAUUUGACAAUUGCAAAGUGUUGCCUGGUAUCAUCUUUUGGCGUGAAAUACAGCCAGACUCUGGAGAGCUUUUGCUCUGACGCCAUGCUGGAAAGUUCUGAACCACAACAUACUUCUCACGUAAGAGGAACUGAUAAGCAGAAUCAUCAAGAAGGCAGACAAACAAUUCUUAGGAAUCGAAUCACUGGGAACUGGUUUUAAAAAAGAACCGGUUAUCAGUUCUCAUCCCUACACAGUCUUGAGGUGAGCCUGUAGAGCACAGCAGUGACUUUGAACACGGGUCCUAUGUCAGCUCAUCAUUGAAAAGUCCACCAACCAACAGACCCUGCCAAAGUCAAAACCCGGGCUUUAGCAUCUGUAGAAACCCAACAAUAAAGAGUGUGGCUUCAGAUCACUCUGUAUGCAGAUCUUCUUUCAUUAUCUGUUCCCAUUUAAAGUCAACAUAUCUGGGUAACGAGUUACUAAUUUGAUUAUCUGUAAAAAAAGGCCGACACACACGUGAACUUGACGUAAUCCUCUUCAUAACUGUGACACACCAGCAGGUCCUGAACUCAUAAUCACGUCUAAAAACAGCAUCGCCCGCUCGUCUGCCUCCAUUUUCUCUUUAACCCCUAUAAUGCGAGAGGAUCCCCUCACCCUCUUUCAUCAGCAGACAUUAGAUCCUGCGCCUGAUGAAAGGCCAACACCAACACUAGCUGCUUCAGAUGAAAAUAGCCGAGCUCCAAUUAGCCAGCCGCUGUUCCCCUUUAGAAUAACUCUGUCGGAGAGGAUGAGCUUCGAUGCCAAGUUGGGACCCGGCCGCGUCCCGCUAAUGGGAAACCACGUGUCCCGAAAAAAGAAUUAAGACAAAGGUCAGACGACACCAAGUGCGCGGAGUCAAUGAGCGUGAAGGCUCUGCAGAGGCUGCGAACUGAUUAAACACGCCGAGAGUUUGCAGAAAAGAUGAGAAGAAAAAAGAUGAAGAGUUGUUCGGGGUUUAAAGUUUAAAGUAGAAGGAGUGAAAAGUAAAUGAGGGGAAACUCAAACAGCGUGGCUCUGACUUUGGACUGUUGGGCUGAAUGUCACAGUCGAUGUUUAAAAGAGACAUCCAACAAACCCUCGCUUCAAACGCUUCGUGUUUCUGAUGAUGAGCUGAGUUCGCACCAGGAAUCACUCCUGGACUUUUUUUAACACUAAGAUUUUGACGUCAUGGAAUUUAUCGCUGCUUUUUUUCAGUUUUGUUUUGUUUACCUGUCGCUUCCUGAAUGAAGAAAAACUUCACCUGAGUAUCUCCCAGCUGAGUUCAGUCAUGAAAACAGAGCGUACAAACCGUGGACUCAAUGUUGGCAGCCAUGUUGAAAUUGCUGACUCAACCCUAAAGGAGGGGAAAGUUACAAAGUCUGGUGUCCAAACUAGAUGUAUGCAAUUUUUUUUAAAUCCCGAGGUAAACGUAUUUUGUCCUAAUCCUAGAAAACAGAUGUAAACUGCUCCAAACGGUUCGUCAGGAGAUCACGCGAGAUCUCAAUGAGACUAACUAACUAAUGAUGUCAUCGCAGUAGUCUAUCCUUAAAGAGACAGUAGCUAGAAUGAAGCGUUUCAUACGGAGGCUGAAAUAAUGAAUAUUUUAAUACACCAGAGGAGUAAGAAGUAUAGAGUAGUAUAGUAUAGAGUCUAAAAACAGGAGCUGAGGUUGGCUUUUGUGUGUCGAUUUUCCUGAUACUGAUGUAGAUACGUAUAGGAAACAUUUCUUGAAGUUUGUGUUUGUUGUGGAACUUUUUCUGAAAUAAGAAAAUAUAGAAAACACUCCAGACGAUGUUCGUCGAACGGCAGCCAAAUACCAGAGCUGUCUCAGGAACCAGAAAUGAAGGGGACAACCACAUUUUGAACAAGUAUACCAACGUUUCAACAGUUUUUGAAACUAUUCUGUCCCAGCGUUAAAGUAUUGAAUCGCACAUCCAGUCUGAGGAGUUCCCUGAAUCCCGUACACCUCCUGAUAUACCGUCUCUGCGCUGUUUCUGUUAGCUAAUGUCAAUCACAGAUGAUUAAAUCACUGCGUCUCUGAAAACUUUCCCUGGUUUUAGAAGUCUGUGCCAAGAGAAAGUGUUUCAACUUAAGAGGAAAAUGUGCGCCCAUCCUGAGGCUUGAUGAAAGUUUUAUAACAAACACACAGACAGAGAGGAGAGGGAGAGAGAGCGACUGGAGGGGAAGUUUCUGUCGAGCUCAGGGUGUAGUCAGAGACGGAGCUGUCUCACUGUUGGUGCAUUUACUGCUUUAAGCAACGACAGAGGAGGCAGCAGCACUGCCAGCUCAGAUUCCUACAAAUCAACAGCUAUAAAACAAGACACUCCUUCAAAGCGGUUUUCUUCCUGAAUUUAUGUUCAGGUCGUCUGGACGUAGCUGUGCAGAUUCAACAAGUUUUCACCGAGGAGACGGCUGCAUCUCCUGUGAAACCAAAACAAACAUUACCCAGAAGUUUUGAUUUCUUAAAAUUCACCAGUUUGUUUACAAGUUUUCUGCAGGCUGGGAAAAGACAGAGAAAGGGGAAACAUCUCUGGAUUUAUACGCCAAAACUUUAUGACUACAUUUAGGCAAAGAUCGUGUUUUUAUACUAGGAGGAGUUCCCAAUAAGUCUAAGAAAACGAUAAAAGAAGAGAGAGUUUUGUUUGUGGGGAAACAGACGUUUUUAUAUCUCAAUAUUCUGAGUAUAAUUUGGAAAUUUGAAGCCAAAAUAAAUAAAUGUUUACCAUUUUUUUUGACUACUUUGUUAGUGAUGUGCAAGUGUCAACCUCCUGUCCUGAGACAAGAAGCUGUUGUUUAAGUGCAGUUUCCUGAUUGUCCACUUGGGGCUGGCUGUCACACACACACUCAGCUAAAAGGACUGUUUUUAAAGCAGGUGACUGACAGGAAGGCACACUGUAGCCAUUUGUAAGGAGGCUGAAUGCCGGCCUCUGAUAGGCUGGUUGAAAGUUAGAGUUGGAAGCGUCCCAAUAUUACCAAUGCUCGGUCCAUAGAUGAGCCCUUAAGUUGUGGCCCCGCCCCCUUCGUCCAAUUGGACAGAGACUUCUGGGACUGUUUCUUAUGUAAUGUCUCAGAUCGCUGUUUGAAUAAGUUUUGAUUUUUGUAUUUGCCCACCAAGCAACUGUAAUAAAAAUGUCAGAAGUCAUUAAAUAGUUUAAUUUUUAUAAUUUAUUGUUAUAUUAAUUUAUAUAAUUUACCAUUCAUUUGGAUGGAUAGCUUUCACCCAAGGACGUGGUUGGAUUUAUUUUUAUUUUUUUUUGAAAACCAGAGGUGACGUUUGUCUGCUCUCAACCAUGCUUAGGUGGUUGUCAUAGUAACCAGUUCACAGUUUUCUGCUGCUAGUUUUACGAGCCAGCCUAAAGGUGGUCCUCUAGGAACUGCAGUUUUUAGCACUUCUACAUCGGCUUUAUUUCUGCAGAAAGACCUGCGGUUGCUGCUUGGUUUUGUUUAACAUUUGUUUUAUUUAUCUUUUUAUGAAGCCUAAAAUACUCUGUGAAUCAAACUUUGAGACGCGACACUCUGAAUUUGUGGAUGAUGCUCAGCUAGCUACAGUUUGAAAUGUUCUUGCAGAUGAUUUCUUUAAUAGAGGUCAUCUGGGAGCAGAUCUGCAAAGACGUUGUCUGCAAAGUGCUGUCUGUCCUUUAUUAUUAAACCAUAAACUGUAUAUAUCAGGACGAAAAAACAGUCAGGCUGUGAAAUUUUCACGUGUUUUCUGUUACAGACAUGGACAGUUUGUUCUGAUCUGGUCUGAACGAGUAAAACACUGAAAUAAACUGUCUGAUCACAGCCUGUGUAUGAUCUGCUCCGCUGCAGCUCAGACCAGUUCACGGUGAGUCACCACGGUCUCUAAAUACCAAACACAGUGUUCCCAAUGAGAAUGUGAGCGCGGUGAAGCACAGCUCCAUUAACCCUCUCAAAAUAGUGUUCAGUUCUCUGUCUGUCUUUAUCAUCUCAGGCUCACACAGGGAAAAAGGAUCUCUGAACGAGCUGCCGAUGGUCCUUUUUAGAUAAUUACAUGGUUUACGUCUCUGGAAUCAGACCGUUGGAUACGGGAAACCGAGCGACAGCAAAACCAAAAAGGAGAGAGGGAAGUGAUGGUACACGUUCAUCCUGGUCAAACUCAGAUCACCUGUGAUCUAUUUCUCAGAAACUUGUUGAUGUUACAGUAUUUUUCUGAUCAUAAGGCGCACUUAGAAUCCUUAAAUUUUCUCAAAAAUUGACAGUGCGCCUUUGUAAUCCAGCACGGUUUAUAUAUGAUUACUUGUUGUGCUUACUGACCGAUUUUAUGCGGUACAAUGCGCUCAAAAAUCUGUCGAAAUGUGUAAGUAUAACUUUGGUAAG